rnacentral:rRNA from 1 species
UACGGGGGGGGGCAAGCGUUGUUCGGAAUUACUGGGCGUAAAGGGUUCGUAGGUGGCCAACUAAGUCAGACGUGAAAUCCCUCAGCUUAACUGGGGAACUGCGUCUGAUACUGGAUGGCUUGAGUGUAGGAGAGGAAUGCGGAAUUCCAGGUGUAGCGGUGAAAUGCGUAGAUAUCUGGAGGAACACCGGUGGCGAAGGCGGCAUUCUGGACUACAACUGACACUGAGGAACGAAAGCCAGGGGAGCAAACGGG